AGAAAUUGAAUCCAGAAAAUUAGAAUGAAAUAAAAAAUACAGAGCAGAGAUAAUACAAAUCUGACGGUCCAAGCAAUAAGGAUGGUGGCUAGUGGCAUGCAUUUGGUGGCGAACAUGAGAAGAAUUGUGGACAUGAGUGUCAGACAAUGGUAUUUGGAUCGAUGGAGAUAGACAGUGACGACAAUGUUAGACAGUGACGACAAUGUUAGACAGAUGACAAUCUGGAAUGAAUUUGGUUAAUGCUUCAAAUCGAUGGCGGUUCAAUGACAACAUUGUGAAGAGGAGAAGAUGGUGAGAACUUGUCGAAAG
rnacentral:lncRNA from 1 species